GAUGAACGCUGGCGGCAUGCUUAAUACAUGCAAGUCGAACGGGGUGGCUUGCCACUCCGUGGCGAACGGGUGAGUAACACGUAGACAAUCUGCCUUCAAGUGGGGGAUAACCAGAAGAAAUUUUGGAUAAUACCGCAUAGAUAUCAACUUCGGCAUCGAGGAUGGUAGAAAGGUCUCCUCAGGACCGCUUGAAGAUGAGUCUGCGGCGCAUUAGCUAGUUGGUGAGGUAACGGCCCACCAAGGCAACGAUGCGUAGUCGACCUGAGAGGGUGAACGGCCACAUUGGGACUGAGACACGGCCCAG
rnacentral:rRNA from 1 species